rnacentral:rRNA from 1 species
AGAGUUUGAUCAUGGCUCAGAUUGAACGCUGGCGGCAUGCUUAAUACAUGCAAGUCGAACGGUAACAGAUUCUUCGGAAUGCUGACGAGUGGCGGACGGGUGAGUAAUACAUAGGAAUCUGCCCAUGUAGUGGGGGACAACUUGGGGAAACUCAAGCUAAUACCGCAUAAUUCCUACGGGAUAAGGAGGGCCACUGCUUGCAAGCUCUUGCUACUGGAUGAGCCUAUGUCGGAUUAGUUAGUUGGUAAGGUAAUGGCUUACCAAGACAGCGAUCCGUAGCUGGUUUGAGAGGAUGAUCAGCCACACUGGGACUGAGACACGGCCCAGACUCCUACGGGAGGCAGCAGUAGGGAGUAUUGGACAAUGGGCGCAAGCCUGAUCCAGCAAUGCCGCGUGUGUGAAGAAGGCCUGCGGGUUGUAAAGCACUUUCAAUUGGGAAGAAAGAUUAUGAGUUAAUACCUUAUAAUAUUGACG